AGGGGGAAAGGAGGGGCUCCCGCCGCUCGCUCGCCUCACGAGCUCGGCGGCGGGGCUGCGAGGAGGGAGAGGGCUGAGGAGGAGGAGGAGGCGGCCUUCGCCGGGCCUGCGUUUAGGAGGCUGGGGCCUAGCGGGACGGUCGGCCAGCCGUGUAGGGUCCGAGAAGGGAAAAGCCUCGGCUGCUCGGAGGGGGUGGCUGUGGGCUGCUCAGCGGCGCCGGUGGGCGGAGGGAGGGCGCGGCGCUGACAAGCUCUCCUCCCCCUUAUAUAUACAGUAUACAGUAUAUAUAUAGAUAGGGGAAGGGGUUGCUCGGGAGCCCCCUGGAAGUCUCGCCCCUCUCCCUCUCGGCGCCCCUUUCCCGCUCUUCACACUUGAAUUUCUUCUGUAUUUUUUUCCCUUCCAAGUCGCACCUUUUCCUCUCCGGAUUCAUGUGCUGACCGCUCGUUUCUUUUGCCUUCCUCUUCUUCCUCCUCCUCACCACCACCUUCUAUUUCUGGGCUUCCUGAGGGCAUCUGCUUGGCCGCUGUGUGUGGGGAGAGAGAGAGAGUUAGGGUGGGAACGAGAUGGGGGGCCUUUGGUCCGAUCCGUCAGGGCUGGUCUUAUAUUCCUGGAAGUCAGUGUGCCUGUUCGGAUCUGCACUGUGCACAGAAGUCCAUGUGGGGAGGAGGAGGAGGAAAAGGAAAGGAUCUGUGGCAGUCACUCCUCUGUUUGUGCAAAAUGGCAUUAAAAAAAACAGGAUCAGUAGGUUGCUAGUUCUGAAGAGCAGACCUCAAACAUCAGUUAACCAUCUAAAAAUGUAUGGAAUAGUGAAAUGGUUCAAAUGAUCAUUUUUGGGAGUACAGUGGCUCAUUUGCACCUAACACUUACGAAAAAGUAAGCAUUUCUUAGUUUUUCAGUGUGCAUGAUGUACAGUUUCACCCAGUUAAAGAUUUGUAUUUGUCACAUACAGCACUGAUGGUACCUGUCUGUCAUGGGUUUGGAGGGAAAGUUCCAUCCUAUGGGGAGUGGAAGGCGGGACAUCAGGGGGGAGGAGCUGUACUGUAUAUAUAUUUGGAGCUUGUGUGGAGAAGAGGAGUUGGAGUCUGUGUGUCAGACUGGGUACAACUGUUUGUCAGUUAGUACAUACCUGAUAGGUUCAGGUUUCUAUUUAGGUAGCCAGAACUGAUAGGUUCAGGGUCUGUGCGUUACCUUAAGGUGUUCCGUGGGAACCAAGCUGUUGUAUGUGUGUGAGUGGGACUAUGCCACGUUCCUGUAUCCUAUUUACCUGAUCCUUUUAUUUACCCUGUUUGUUGUUUCAAUAAACCUUGUUCUUUUGUUUAUUAAAAUCCA
rnacentral:lncRNA from 1 species